GAUGAACGCUGGCGGCGUGCCUAAUACAUGCAAGUCGAGCGAACAGACGAGGAGCUUGCUCCUCUGACGUUAGCGGCGGACGGGUGAGUAACACGUGGAUAACCUACCUAUAAGACUGGGAUAACUUCGGGAAACCGGCGCUAAUACCGGAUAAUAUAUUGAACCGCAUGGUUCAAUAGUGAAAGACGGUUUUGCUGUCACUUGUAGAUGGAUCCGCGCCGGAUUAGCUAGUUGGUAGGGUAGCGGCUUACCAAGGCGACGAUGCGUAGCCGACCUGAGAGGGGGACAGGCGAGAUUGGGACUGAGAGACGGCCCAGACUCCGAAGGGAGGCAGCAGUGGGGAAUAUUGAACAAUGGGCGGAAGCCUGAUGCAGAAACGCCGCGUGCGGGAUGACGGCCUUCGGGUUGUAAACCGAUUUCGCCUGUGACGAAGCGUGAGGGACGGUAAUGGGUAAAGAAGCACCGGCUAACUACGUG
rnacentral:rRNA from 1 species